UGUUUCAAUACUUUUUAAGUUGUUGGCAUUCUCUCGCAAAACUUUUGCGUCGUCCCGUCCAUACAAACAAUACUUCUGGGGCUCUGGAGAAUUCAGAUAUUUCCUUAUUCAGUUUCUUUCUUUAUUUCUUUUAUUGCAAGAAAAGAAAAGAAAACAGCACUGCAUUGAAAUACAAUAACAUGAAAGAAAAAAGAAGAGGAAAAAAAACAAAACAAAACAAAAAAACAAUAGCACCUCAAUCAGGUUGCUGGUAAACCUGGAGUCUAUCCCAGGGAGCAUCGGGCACAAGGCGGGGUACACCCUGGACAGGGUGCCAAUCCAU
ensembl:lncRNA